rnacentral:rRNA from 1 species
UACACUCCUGCGGGAGGCAGCAGUGGGGAAUAUUGGACAAUGGGCGCAAGCCUGAUCCAGCCAUGCCGCGUGAGUGAUGAAGGCCCUAGGGUUGUAAAGCUCUUUUGUGCGGGAAGAUAAUGACGGUACCGCAAGAAUAAGCCCCGGCUAACUUCGUGCCAGCAGCCGCGGUAAUACGAAGGGGGCUAGCGUUGCUCGGAAUCACUGGGCGUAAAGGGUGCGUAGGCGGGUCUUUAAGUCAGGGGUGAAAUCCUGGAGCUCAACUCCAGAACUGCCUUUGAUACUGAAGAUCUUGAGUUCGGGAGAGGUGAGUGGAACUGCGAGUGUAGAGGUGAAAUUCGUAGAUAUUCGCAAGAACACCAGUGGCGAAGGCGGCUCACUGGCCCGAUACUGACGCUGAGGCACGAAAGCGUGGGGAGCAAACAGGAUUAGAAACCCGUGUAGUCCC